UCAGUUCGGAUCGGAGUCUGCAACCCGACUCCGUGAAGCUGGAUUCGCUAGUAAUCGCGCAUCAGCCAUGGCGCGGUGAAUACGUUCCCGGGCCCUUGUACACACCGCCCGUCAAGCCAUGGGAGCCGGGGGCACUUGAAGUACGCCGCCGCGAGGAGCGUCCUAGAGUGAAACCGGUGACUGGGGCUAAGUCGUAACAAGGUACC
rnacentral:rRNA from 1 species